AUCCAGCUGACGAGACCCGAAUAGGACGAAACGCGCUUCCUAGAU
rfam:Schistosoma rodhaini strain Burundi genome assembly, scaffold: SROB_scaffold0001616